UGUAUAUAUUUAUGAAGUUCGAUCAUAUUAUACUUUAGUAUUGUACCAUUCACAUUUAUAUUUUAUGCAAGUAAACUUCUUAUAUCUUCUAUAGCAUAAGAAGUUCCAUUCAUUCUGAUUUUAGUAUUAGGUUAACCUUUAUUCUCUACGCCUUUAAUAGCCUAUCAAUUUAUAAUAUAUUUUUGUUUUCUUCUUUAAAUAUUGGCCUAGAUUACUGCUCGUGCAGGUCGAAAAGAAUUUAUGGAAGUUUUAGUAUUCAAAACUAUAAAGAUUGUUAAGAGGUCAGAAAGGACAUAUAAGAAUCGACAACGGCUUUAUCUUUCUGAGCAGGUUUUGCAAGAAUCCAUUGAAGCAGUGAAACCAUAUUUGCUGCAAUUGAUUGAUUUAUAGGCCUUUUUGUAGGUUUGGUAGCCAAAUUUUGGUUCAAAUGUACUUAUUUAAAUAGCUUGUCCGUACCAAAACAUAUAUGUUAAUUGCUUCAUUGUACAAACAUUGUAC